AAUUGCAAGUACAGUGAAGAGAUUCCACAGCAGUACCUCCAACAUUUUUGAUUUUUCCAAAUGCAAGAUGUACCUGAAGAGAAAAUCUCAUUAUGUUCGGAAUGUUUAUGCCUUUGCCAGCACAAGUAAUUUUUUUAGCCAGGCAUGUACUAGCCCAGGACAGAUGAUCUCCAUUCCAAAGAAGAGACUGCAACACUUUUUCCUUGUUCACCAGAUGUGCUCCAGGCUUUAGGUCAUAAAAGACCUAAACCAUCCAUCUUUCUCCAACACGAAUGUUGACUGAUCAGUUGCUACUUUGGUCAGAAGAUCGCUUUCUCAAAGUCAGAGUGAAUGGUUUUGGAAAACGGACAUAGUUUAAGUAGAAAAAACAGUUAUGUGAUUCAGUCCCAUGCAGGAGCCUUUGCUUAUUUCCCACAACAUGGAACGGAACCUGCAAUAUAUCUGAGGGUCUGCCUGUCUUGACAACUACAAUAUGAAUAAGCAGAUCAAUGGAUCUCCAGGACUUUCCCACUUGUGAAAGAGAAAGUCCCGGUUUCUCUGUUCUUCUCUUGGCCUGCCAACACCCAGCUUUACGACUUAAGGCAAAUUAUUUAACCUCAGAUUCUCUCAUGUAUGAAAUGUGAAGUUUUAUCUGCAACGUUUGAUCCAGGUCUAAUAUUCUGUGAUUACUUGCUUUAUUUAAAGAUCAUGUUUUGUUUACCAAAAAUUUGAAGAUUUUAUUUAUAGUAAACUGAUCUUUUAUUCCUAUGCAUUGAGUUCUAAAACCUCCAAAGUUGGAAUCAUACUGUCAGGAAAACACAGAAACAACAAUAGUAAAAGACUUUGAAAUGGAUGAAGAGUAUUGGGUGACCCGUCUGGCACGACCUUCUGGGUUAAUCCCUACCUUUCAUUGUCCUUGAACUACUUUUUUAAGUUUAAUUUUUAUUUUUUAUGGAGUAGAGUUGAUUUACAAUGUUGUGUUAGUUUCAGGUGUACAGCAAAGUGAAUCAGUUAUACACAUACAUAUAUCCAUUCUCUUUCAGACUCUUUUCCCAUAUAGGUUAUUUCCUUGAGCUAUUUUGUAACUCCACAAGAUGUAAAAUACUGAUAGUAAUUCAAAUGAGUCUUGUCCAUAUGCACAUCGUGUCUACUGAAAUGUAAUUGAUCAUUGUCUUUGGAUAUUAACCUGUUUUACAUUUAUUUGUAAGUUCAGUUCGGCAUUCCUAAUUGACUACAUGUGUGUAGUUCUCUGAGCUGUGCCUUGAAUCAGUUAUAACACCUUACUGAUUUCCUCGUUUAUUAAUAAGUUAUCAUU